UCGAACAGCUUGUGAUAGUUUGAGUUAA
rnacentral:piRNA from 1 species